GUAGAUAUAGUUUAACUAAAAUAUUAGAUUGUGAUUCCAAAGAUAGGGGUUAAAAACCCCUUAUCCACC
rnacentral:tRNA from 1 species